rnacentral:rRNA from 1 species
CACGUGUGCAACCAACCCCGUACCGGGAGAUAACCCGCGGAAACGUGGACUAACACCCCAUAACACCUUUCCCCCGCAUGGGGGAGAGUUUAAAAUCACGAUGGUACGGGACGGGCACGCGCGACAUUAGGUAGUUGGCGGGGUAACGGCCCACCAAGCCGACGAUGUCUAGGGGUUCUGAGAGGAAGGUCCCCCACACUGGAACUGAGACACGGUCCAGACUCCUACGGGAGGCAGCAGUGAGGAAUAUUGGUCAAUGGGCGAGAGCCUGAACCAGCCAAGUCGCGUGAGGGAAGAAUGGUCUAUGGCCUGUAAACCUCUUUUGUCAAGGAAGAAUAAGCGGCACGAGUGCCACCUUGCCAGUACUUGACGAAUAAGCAUCGGCUAACUCCGUGCCAGCAGCCGCGGUAAUACGGGGGAUGCGAGCGUUAUCCGGAUUUAUUGGGUUUAAAGGGCGCGUAGGCGGGACGUCAAGUCAGCGGUAAAAGACUGCAGCUAAACUGUAGCACGCCGUUGAAACUGUCGACCUGGAGACGAGACGAGGGAGGCGGAACAAGUGAAGUAGCGGUGAAAUGCAUAGAUAUCACUUGGAACCCCGAUAGCGAAGGCAGCUUCCCAGGCUCGAUCUGACGCUGAUGCGCGAGAGCGUGGGUAGCGAACAGGAUUAGAUACCCUGGUAGUCCACGCCGUAAACGAUGCUCACUGGAUCUUGGCGAUACACGGCCAGGGUUCAAGCGAAAGUAUUAAGUGAGCCACCUGGGGAGUACGUCGGCAACGAUGAAACUCAAAGGAAUUGACGGGGGCCCGCACAAGCGGAGGAACGUGUGGUUUAAUUCGAUGAUACGCGAGGAACCUUACCCGGGUUUAAAUGCAGGUUGCAUGAGGUGGAAACACCUCUUUCCCUCGGGACUACCUGCAAGGUGCUGCAUGGUUGUCGUCAGCUCGUGCCGUGAGGUGUCGGGUUAAGUCCCAUAACGAGCGCAACCCCUAUCGCCAGUUGCCAUCGGUUCAAGCCGGGCACUCUGUCGAGACUGCCACCGUAAGGUGCGAGGAAGGCGGGGAUGACGUCAAAUCAGCACGGCCCUUACACCCGGGGCGACACACGUGUUACAAUGGCCGGUACAGAGGGCAGCCACGGGGCGACCCGGAGCGAAUCUCUAAAGCCGGUCGUAGUUCGGACUGGAGUCUGCAACCCGACUCCACGAAGUUGGAUUCGCUAGUAAUCGCGCAUCAGC